CAUCCCCCAGUGGCAAGUGUGAGACACUGUUUCUGGUCCAUUCGUUCUGUGCCGCACGCCGCCGGUGUUCAAAGCAGCGGUCCUCAGUGGUUGGUCGCUCUGCAUAGUGUUCAGAAGAGAUUAAGAAAAGGCAUUUGUUUUCUGGUGUGGAACCCCUUCAGAUUCAGAUCUGAGUGAGAAUGGGACCUCAUUAGAUGAUGUAACCUGUGAGCAUACAAUUGGAAUGAAAAAAUGCAGUCUCUUCAGAAAGUCUACAAAAAGCAAGCCUCAAGAAGUAGUUUCUUUUUAUCCCUGAAGAGGCCUGCCUUCAUAUAGCUACAUACAGAUAUAUAGCCAACAUAUAGCUGUAGCCUAUCAUGCAAGAUUGAGCGCGAGUGCAAAAGUUCUCGUUUCUACUGACUCCACAAAAAUGCAUUUUUAAAUAGACUAAGGAACUGAACUCUUUACAGCUUUGAGCUGUGAAUACCAACCUAUAUUACAUAACAUUAUCCUCUUAACUCUUUGAUCCUCCUUGUAAUCAUCAGCUAUAAGUUUGCCACCAGUUUUUGGAAGACUAUUUAGUAAGGUUCCAUAAAGCUUUACUGGUUACUUAAUUAGAUGAAAAACUGCUUUGUCUUUCUAUAAGUUAAGGGUUGGUAUCUGUUUUUGAAAGGAUGGGUUUACAUGAGAAAUGUAGUCACUAAUGUUGGCUUUCUGUAAAGCCUAUUUGAAAAAAGAGUAAGAUAAUUUCUAGGUACUCUUCAAUGAGUAAAGAGGGCCUUGAUCUGCUUAUUCAACAUUGAUUGGAAGUACAGUAAAGAAAAUUUUGCAGAUGUUGGACAACAUUUCACUGUUUUGUUUUACUUUUUGUUUGAUUUCCUCUCUGCUUUUGUUUGGGUUGGUCAUUUUUUGAGGGAACUUCAUCUAGCACUUUGAGUUUCUAAAUUGAAAGAUAUUUCUUUCAUUAAAAGUGAAACUAUUUCCACAUGUUUUGCUUGAUUUCAUGUGCUGUUAAUAUUGCUAUUAAAAUACUUUCCAGAAA